AUUCGGACCUUGUUACUGAUGUGGGAAAUAUUGAAAGCAAACACGGCUGUCUUCUCAACAUCCCAACUUGCAAGACUCACAUUGGCUUCUAUCUCAGGUUGAUCCUAGAAAGAUAUGGCAACGUGUGAAUAUAAAAGGUGUUUCGCUGUACUGGUGGAGAGGAGACAAGGAGUGGAAACAAGAGAAGAGUGGAAGAUGAGGGGGAGACCAUGUGACUUGGGAGGCUGAAUAAAAAUUGCCUUCUUCUUAUAAAAUAGGCUCCACAGGAGUGAGAAAGGAGCUACAUGAAGGCAUUUUAAGUCAAGACAGAAUUCUGCUUGCCCUAGGAGAAGGUUGCAUCAGCAAUCUGAGUCCAGCUCUGUCAUGGAUCACAGUCCCUGUAUUUCCUGAGAAACGACUCGCCUUCCAACAAGAUGUGAGGAUCAAGAGAAGGCGAUAGAUAAGCCAUAUCUUGAGAGAUGAGCUAUGUGAUAGAAACCAAUGGAGACCAAAGGCAUCAAAGGAUGUACCAAGAACCAAGGGUGGUUCCUUUGGUGAAGGAAGUAUCUCUGGGCUGGAUGUCUUCUCUGUGCCCUGCAUACCCACCUCCAGACUUCUCAGCUGUGCUCAGCUCUACAAGGCCAAUCAGAAUGGAACAUCAAUAGACUCUUCUUCCGUUUCCUAUGCUUUUUGAUUGGGCUCAGCCAUCUGUUACCUGCUGGGAUUCUGACUGAUAAAUCCUCUAAGGUACAGGUAUAUAUGGGAAAGACCUGUUAAUACAGAGCUUAAGAUUUACUCUCU